AAGUCGUAACAAGGUUUCCGUAGGUGAACCUGCGGAAGGAUCAUUACCGAGGGAGGGUCUCCGGGCCCAAACCCCAACCCUUUGCGUACCUUAUUCAUAAAGUUGCCUUGGUGGGCCGCGUCCUGCGCCGUCGCCGGCCCCCGGUCGACGAGAGCCCGCCGGUGGACAUGUAAACUCCUACACCGAAUGUCUGAGUCUAAAUCAAAUAAUCAAAACUUUCAACAACGGAUCUCUUGGUUCUGGCAUCGAUGAAGAACGCAGCGAAAUGCGAUAAGUAAUGUGAAUUGCAGAAUUCAGUGAAUCAUCGAAACUUUGAACGCACAUUGCGCCCCCUGGCAUUCCGGGGGGCAUGCGUGAUCGAGCGUCAUGACUAAGUCAAACCUCCGGUUUGGUGUUGGGCUCCGCCUCCCGGCGGGCCUUACAAACCUGUGGUGNCCUCCACAUGUGGCAUAAGCGCAGAGAUAUUUCACGCUUUUAACGCCNNGUGNNCGCCGUCAGCACNACUUCUCAAGGUUGACCUCGGAUCAGGUAGGGAUACCGCUGAACUUAAGCAUAUCAGUAAGCGGAGGAAAAGAAACAACAGGGAUUGCCUCAGUAACGGCGAGUGAAGCGGCAACAGCUCAAAUUUGAAAUCUGGCCCUCUCAGGGCCCGAGUUGUAAUUUGUAGAGGGUGCUUCGGGUGUGGUAACGGCUUAAGUUCCUUGGAACAGGACGUCACAGAGGGUGAGAAUCCCGUACGUGGCCGGCAGCCUACGCCUAUGUGAAGCCCCUUCGNCGAGUCGAGUUGUUAGGGAAUGCAGCUCAAAAUGGGUGGUAAAUUUCAUCUAAAGCUAAAUCCCGGCCAGAGNCCGAUAGCGCCCAAGUAGAGUGAUCGAAAGAUGAAAAGCNCUCUGGAAAGAGAGUUAACAAGUACGGGAAAUNGUUGAAAGGGAAGGGCUUGCGCCCAGACUGUUCCGCGGCCGAUCAGCCGGUGUUCUCACCGGUGCACUCGGCCGUGGUCAGGCCAGCAUCAGUUCGGGCGGCGGGACAAAGGCCCUGGGAAUGUGGCUUCCUUCGGGGAGUGUUAUAGCUCGGGGCGCAAUGCCGCCCGCCUGGACUGAGGAUCGCGCUUCGGCUAGGAUGCUGGCGUAAUGGUCGCAAGCGACC
rnacentral:rRNA from 1 species